UUUAACACUUCAUGACUGACAACACAACACAACACAAUCUUCAGCAUCACACAAACCAACAAGAACAACAAUGACUUUCAGCAUCAUCUUCAUCUGGACACUCACAGUGUUUAUUACAGAAUCCAGAGGAGUUACUCUGACUCAACCUAGAGUGAAAAGUGUUCAACAGGGACAAACAGCUACAAUAGAGUGUCAUAUAGAUGUAGGAAUAUAUAGCAGCUACUUAGCCUGGUAUCAGCAGAAACCUGGAGAAGCUCCUAAACUCCUCAUAUAUUACAUCAAUAACCUCCAGUCUGGAGUAUCAUCUAGAUUCAGUGGCAGUGGAUCAAACACAGAUUUCACUCUGAGCAUCAGUGGAGUUCAGUCUGAAGAUUCAGGAGAUUAUUACUGUCAGAGUUAUCACAGUGGUAAUGUGUUGACACAGUGA